rnacentral:misc_RNA from 1 species
AAAAACCCUAACACGGUCCGACCCGAACCAGUCUCACUCUGCCGAUGACUUCCGCCGGCCUGCUCCUCCGUCGUUCUGCCCAUAAAAUUUUAUAAAGUAGCGUUGGCCGCACAGCCGCCGCCUUGCUCAAUCUCUCCUCGCCGUGAACUACCUCUUCUCUGUCCGCCGCCGAUAAAACUACAAAUAUUGGAAUUAUGAGCAUGGAGACGGUUGGGUCUGAGCAAUCAAGAGAGAAAAUGAAGAAAGACAAGAAAAAAAGGAAGGCUGAAACAGAGGGACCUGAUACCCCAUCAACCUCUCACAUUUCUAGCAAUCCUAUGGAGAAGAAGAAGCAAAAAAGAGCUGUAGACAAAGAGAGGCGCAGGGUGGAGACCGAGAAAAAAACCGAAGCCCAGCAAGUAGUGGUGUCCUCUGAAUUGAAAAGUAAUAAGAGCGCGGUGAUUUCUCCCACUACUAGUGGAUUGCCUGAGUUCCACAUUGCUGUAUUUAAGGACCUUGCAGCUGCCGAUGCUUCUAUUAGAGAAGCAGCUGCUAAUUCUUUAGUUGCUGAGUUGAUUGAAGUUCAGAAGGCUUAUGAUAUUCUAGAGAACAAGGAAGUGGUUGAGGGACAGCUCAAAUUGGAAGCUGAAAAGGAUGAU